AUACGUAGGGUGCGAGCGUUGUCCGGAAUUACUGGGCGUAAAGAGCUCGUAGGUGGUUUGUCGCGUCGUCUGUGAAAUUCCGGGGCUUAACUCCGGGCGUGCAGGCGAUACGGGCAUAACUUGAGUACUGUAGGGGAGACUGGAAUUCCUGGUGUAGCGGUGAAAUGCGCAGAUAUAAGGAGGAACACCGGUGGCGAAGGCGGGUCUCUGGGCAGUAACUGACGCUGAGGAGCGAAAGCAUGGGUAGCGAACAGGAUUAGAUACCCUGGUAGUCCAUGCCGUAAACGGUGGGCGCUAGGUGUAGGGGUCUUCCACGACUUCUGUGCCGUAGCUAACGCAUUAAGCGCCCCGCCUGGGGAGUACGGCCGCAAGGCUAAAACUCAAAUGAAUUGACGGGG
rnacentral:rRNA from 1 species